UUAUAUGCCAGUAUUGGAAGUGAGAAACAUUUUCAAUAUAUCUUGAAUGAUUCGUAUCAUUGAAAAAAUAAUGGAUUUGCACCAAUACAGAAGUGGUACAUUAUUGCAACUUUCAACAAUAAAGUUGUGGUUGAGUUGGCAAAACAUGAAAUCGGUAUUUCUGAAGAAAAAAAAUCCCGGUUAGAGGACAGCCACCACUAAACACAAAUACCUACCUUAUAUGUCUUGGCUUAAUAUGAGAACAUUUUGUUCACGUAUUUUUGAAAGACGGGUGUCGAAUACCUCCAUCAUGCACAAAGUGAAAACUGCACAAGAAAGAGGAAGC
rnacentral:lncRNA from 1 species